UUUGUGUAUAUGCAUGUGUGCAUGCAUGUACACAUGAGACAGGCACACACAUACACACAUACCCAUA
rnacentral:miRNA from 1 species